rnacentral:rRNA from 1 species
UACGUAGGGAGCAAGCGUUGUCCGGAAUCAUUGGGCGUAAAGCGCGCGUAGGUGGCCACAUAAGUCCGUUGUGAAAGUCAAAGGCUCAACCUUUGAAAGCCGAUGGAUACUGUGUGGCUAGAGUACGGAAGAGGCGAGUGGAAUUCCUGGUGUAGCGGUGAAAUGCGCAGAUAUCAGGAGGAACACCGAUGGCGAAGGCAGGUCACUGGGCCGCAACUGACGCUGAGGAGCGAAAGCAUGGGGAGCGAACAGG